CUCACAGGACAGCGAGCUCUGUGUUUACCGUGGACAAUUCUAAGCACCCAAAGAGGGAAUCACUGGUGGUGGAAAGUGCAGUUUCUGUGGAUUUCUCCUCAUUUCGUUCUAGAUGACAUCAUAAAGCGCCACAGGAAGGAGCAGACAGAUGCCAGCGCUGCGGGCGACAGCAGAAGGCAGCAGGUCAAGAACAGGAGUUCAGCCUCGGGGUACGGGCGGCCCCAGUACCGUGCCUGGAAGCAGAGGAAUUUGCAAGGACCUAACCGUUUCAGAAGAGGGUUUGGACAGCAACAAUUCAAUCGGAGACAAUUCAGGAAUACUUUGCCUGGUCGCAAGAGAAGAGCAGCUGCUGCAUUCGAUGGAGUGAGCCCUUUAAAUCGCCAGGCAUCGACUCAGGAGGGCAACAAGAAGAGCAGUGCUUUUGCCAAAAGCAGCAAUGGGCAGCAGGAGGAACAGCCACAGCCAUCUCCAGGCCCCAAGAGAUUCAGAGCAGAUGCUGCCAGCGUCCGAGCCCCAGGGAGAAGGCCUUUCCUGCUGAACAGGGGACCAGUGUUCCAGCAGAAGCGGGUGCAGCAGUGGUUCUACAAAGCCGGCUUCCAGAGAGGGCAGAUGGAUUCUAGAGGAGAAGGGAAACCGCCAAGGAUGAGAAGGUGGCAAGUGAAACCCAGCCCGGGAGCAAUUCUCACGGUUUCUGUGGUUAAUCCCCAGGCGGGCCAGACCAGCGCGCCUGGAUCCAAGCGCCCAUUCCUGCGAAGCCAGAGACCCCCGGCACGGGUGGCCAAGCCCCAGCCCAAGGGGGUGCUGCUGAGAUUCAACUUCCGUGCCAUGGCCAACCAGGUAGAGGAUUAUCGACGGGACAGGAGGCACCUGGCUCCCCGCAGCAGCCCUGCCACUGAGCUGUUAAUGUCACACUCAGGUUUCUGGGGCUGCCAGCUGGGUUUAUCUAACACAACCUGGGAGGAAUGUCCCGUAGCUGUGUUGGCCAGGUUGCUCACAAAACUGAAGGCACUUGAGAAGACUGUUCAGCAACUACAGACUCAGCCCAGUUUUUCCCACUCUGAUGGCCUGUCUUGGCCUGUCCAUGUGCUUGCUUGGAGCAGGGAGGUCCUGCUGAUGAGCAGUCCUGGCCAGAGGGGACUGUUUCACUGUCAGUGCUUCCCAUUCCUCAGAGACACGUGGCACCUCUGGGCUUU
ensembl:lncRNA UAP56-interacting factor-like